GGGCCGUUAGCUCAGCUGGCUAGAGCACCGCCUUUGCAAGGCGGGGGUCGUGGGUUCGAAUCCCACACGGUCCACCA
rnacentral:tRNA from 1 species